rnacentral:rRNA from 1 species
AGAGUUUGAUCCUGGCUCAGAUUGAACGCUGGCGGCAGGCCUAACACAUGCAAGUCGAGCGGUAGAGAGAAGCUUGCUUCUCUUGAGAGCGGCGGACGGGUGAGUAAUGCCUAGGAAUCUGCCUGGUAGUGGGGGAUAACGUUCGGAAACGGACGCUAAUACCGCAUACGUCCUACGGGAGAAAGCAGGGGACCUUCGGGCCUUGCGCUAUCAGAUGAGCCUAGGUCGGAUUAGCUAGUUGGUGGGGUAAUGGCUCACCAAGGCGACGAUCCGUAACUGGUCUGAGAGGAUGAUCAGUCACACUGGAACUGAGACACGGUCCAGACUCCUACGGGAGGCAGCAGUGGGGAAUAUUGGACAAUGGGCGAAAGCCUGAUCCAGCCAUGCCGCGUGUGUGAAGAAGGUCUUCGGAUUGUAAAGCACUUUAAGUUGGGAGGAAGGGCAGUAAAUUAAUACUUUGCUGUUUUGACGUUACCGACAGAAUAAGCACCGGCUAACUCUGUGCCAGCAGCCGCGGUAAUACAGAGGGUGCAAGCGUUAAUCGGAAUUACUGGGCGUAAAGCGCGCGUAGGUGGUUAGUUAAGUUGGAUGUGAAAUCCCCGGG